GUCGCACCUACCGAUUGAAUGAUCCGGUGAAGCCUCGGGAUUGUGGUCAGUUUGCUUCAUUGUGAAUGGAUUGCGAGAACUUGUCUAAACCUUAUCAUUUAGAGGAAGGUG
rnacentral:rRNA from 1 species